GGUAUAGGUUUUCGGACCUAGAGACCGGCGCACGGGUGCGUAACGCGUAUGCAAUCUACCUUUCACAGAGGGAUAGCCCAGAGAAAUUUGGAUUAAUACCUCAUAGUAUAACGACUCGGCAUCGAGAUGUUAUUAAAGUCACAACGGUGAAAGAUGAGCAUGCGUCCCAUUAGCUAGUUGGUAUGGUAACGGCAUACCAAGGCGACGAUGGGUAGGGGUCCUGAGAGGGAGAUCCCCCACACUGGUACUGAGACACGGACCAGACUCCUACGGGAGGCAGCAGUGAGGAAUAUUGGACAAUGGGCGCAAGCCUGAUCCAGCCAUGCCGCGUGCAGGAUGACGGUCCUAUGGAUUGUAAACUGCUUUUGCACAGGAAGAAACACUGAUUCGUGAAUCAGCUUGACGGUACUGUGAGAAUAAGGAUCGGCUAACUCCGUGCCAGCAGCCGCGGUAAUACGGAGGAUCCAAGCGUUAUCCGGAAUCAUUGGGUUUAAAGGGUCCGUAGGCGGUUUGGUAAGUCAGUGGUGAAAGCCCAUCGCUCAACGGUGGAACGGCCAUUGAUACUGCUAAACUUGAAUUAUUAGGAAGUAACUAGAAUAUGUAGUGUAGCGGUGAAAUGCUUAGAGAUUACAUGGAAUACCAAUUGCGAAGGCAGGUUACUACUAAUGGAUUGA
rnacentral:rRNA from 1 species